GGAAAGUCCAGUGGCGGACACCAUGACUUCUGACAGAGGUUCUUUGGUUGGAGAUGCUACCUUGAGAGUAUGCUCACUGCUGGAGGACCUUUGUCAACUCCCCACCUGGGGCAGAAGGUCAUUACCCAAGAUAUCCCUCUGACUUCACGAGGCUGUAUGCACUGGAACUCCACUGUAUAAUUCUAG